CUUGAAGGAGCAGGACAGAGACUGCGGUUUUGCUAAUCCUCAAAUUAAAUAGCAGGACUUUUCCAGAGUAACCUAAGUGUGAACAGCACCGCGCUGGCUGCCCGAGGGAGCUCCCGCUCGACGUUCCUCUGCUCUUCCGUGCUGUGCCCUCGGCACAGCCUCCCACUCUGUCUUCACUACCCACAUCGCCAGCACCAGAAGAAACGAUUUUAACUACACCCAUCAGAAAACACGAACCAGUGAAGCAGCAUUUUAUCUAGCAUCAGUGACUGCAUGCUGUGAGAAUUUUGUUGCUGUGGAAACCGUGUUUGUGAUACUGAAACUGAAUAAUGACUUGCUCUAUCAGGUUUUGAUGAUCACAGAGAAAUUACGGUUUUUACUGAGCAAACCCUUGUAUAUCAAUAAAGAUCCAAUUCUUUGGGACAUCCUGUCACCUCUACCUUCAAAAUACGUCCCCAGUCCAAGCACAUCUCGCCCGCUACGGCUACAAGGCUGGUCCAGGGAACUGUUGUCUCUCACCUGAGCUGCCCCAGCUACCUCCUGACUGUGUGUGAACCCGACAGAGAACAGAUGCUAUUUCACCUGCAGCCCUGCACCCAUUGAGAACGGCAGAUGGAAGAGGCAAAAUAAAUAGGUCAGAACUAGGCGUGGUGAAGUGGACGCUGUGCUGGGCCUUGAAGAGGACGGCCUGGACCAAACGUGUGUGCGCGUUGCAGUCACACGGAGGGCUUGUGCAAACGUAGAGCUGCUGGUGUGUUAGGUCUGUGAUGGGCCCUGAGAAUUUGCAUUUAAAACAAAUUCACGGAGGCUGCUGAAGCUCCCUCUGAGGACCAUGGGCCUCCCCGGUGGAAGACCUGGGGCUGAAUCCCAGAUUCCUUGCUUUACUAGCUGUGACUGAGGGAAUUUAGUUAUCUGAGUCUCGGCUCCUUCUCUGUAAACUGAACUGUAAACUCCCUGUUUAUCCAUUUUGUUAGACUUGUGUGAAAAGGAAAUAAAAUAAUAUAUUUGCAAAUUA
rnacentral:lncRNA from 1 species